AGCAAGAAACCCUAGGGUUUCUUGCCGCCAGGUCCAUAGAAGGCAGGAAAAGCAGGUGAGGUGCUAGGGUUUUGAGCCCCUCCCCCUUUGUACUGCCAACCAUAUUGCCUCUCCCUCUCUUGCAGCCACCCAAACAUCAGGUCCAAGAUUUGAAAUCUCUUGCUACAAGGUUGGUACAAGUUCCUCUCAGAUCUGGAGUUGAUCUGAGGUCAUUUGAGGCACGGAUGAGAUCUCCAUCAACAGAUCUACAGGAAAGGCUGCAGCAGGAUAGAUCUGCAAGGUCUGGUUC
rnacentral:lncRNA from 1 species